UUCAACUGAAGAGUUUGAUCAUGGCUCAGAUUGAACGCUGGCGGCAGGCCUAACACAUGCAAGUCGAGCGGAAACAAGCCCAGCUUGCUAGAAGGCGACGAGCGGCGGACGGGUGAGUAACGCAUAGGAAUCUACCCAGUCGUGGGGGAUAACCUGAGGAAACUCAGGCUAAUACCGCAUACGUCCUACGGGAGAAAGCGGGGGAUCUUCGGACCUCGCGCGAUUGGAUGAGCCUAUGUCGGAUUAGCUAGUUGGUAAGGUAACGGCUUACCAAGGCAACGAUCCGUAGCUGGUCUGAGAGGAUGAUCAGCCACACCGGGACUGAGACACGGCCCGG
rnacentral:rRNA from 1 species